GCGUCGGUGGUGCAACGGUUUGCACACGCUCCCUGAAAGAGUGAGAUCUGAGAUCUGGGUUUGAAUCCCGGCUGACGCA